UAACCGUAGGUGAACCUGCGGUUGGAUCAUUAUAAAUGAACCUCUUGCCUAGAAUCGAUUGAACCAGUAAUGGAUCUCUUCUAGGCGAGAAAAUACCCUUUGUGCACCGUAAUAUGUUUUUCAGGCAUAAAGUUAGGAGAAAAGUCUUUUGAAAUAUUUUGGGCAAGGUUUUUAUGCAAUUAUAUUGACAGUCAUAGGAGUUUAUUCGCCAUAGUGGUCUGUCAAGGCAACGUAUGAUUACUUUUGUCUGGGAUGUUUUUUAGAUUUUUUUACGUACUAUUCACCCUAGUAUUAUGGAUUUACGGGUGUUUAUUCAACCGUAGAUUUUCAAUAGAAAGGGAGAGUGAACGACGUCCUCUUUUUGAGGGAAUUUUGAAAAUUCAUGGUAGUUUCGGCUGCCGUGAGUCGUCUUAAGAAACUCGAAUUUUUUGGCCUUUCAUGCCUGGCAGUUUAACCAACCCUUUUAAAUUUUGACUGAUGUUUUUCUAAUUAUUAGAAUAAAAAACAACUUUCAACAACGGAUCUCUUGGCUCUC
rnacentral:misc_RNA from 1 species